ensembl:snoRNA
CAGCAUGUUCCCAAGAUCUCUGGUUGCUUGUGGCCAAGGGAUCUCCAACUGCAUGCGAGAGCAACCUGGAGAGACUUUGACAGCCCAGGUCAGCAGAGUACCUGCAGCUGCCACUCGAUUUUCCUAUAAUG